GUCAGGGAACCUCUGUCGUGGGAAUUCCCAGGUGUGUUCAGAUCCAUGUUGCGUCACACCUGUUUGCUCCCUGCCUUGUCUCUAAGUGAUUGUAAAAUGCUCUCCUAAUCUCGUUCCCGUCUUGGACCCUGAGCUUUGUCUCCUGGGCUUCAUGCACGUAUUUAUUCUCCAUUAAAAGUAUAAAUUUGAAGGCUUUCCCAGGCUAGUGCCUUGGUGAGACUCAGACUCAUUUUGUGAACCUGCAUUAGAAAAGCAAACUCCAGAUCCCUCCUGACAGGGGUGGGGCCUAUCUAACCAGGGUGUUGCUGCUAGAGAUGUGACAUAAGACAGAAAAACAGGCUCAUAUCAGAGCUAACACUUAAAGAAAACACCAGCCGUCUCAGAGCUGUGACUAUUUUCAAGGCUAUUGUUUUUCUCUGUGGAACACUGCCUUUGGGACAAAACAAGGAAGAAGCAGCUUCCUAAGUGACAAGAGCCAUGUAGUAGGUGCUCUGGGGGCCCCGGACCGCCUGUGACUCCAGCAACUGCCCUGGAGGACUUUCCUGGGCACUGGGAAACCUUUCUCACCUGGCAGGUGCCCUGAAGUGGCGGCGAGCUGAUACACGAUUCUCCACUUCAUGUGGCCGUAAACAGGUGAUCCGUGAUGUCCAACUGAUGGUUGAAUGGACAAGACAGAUGAUUGUGGGGUGAGGAAAGCAAUCCUAGGAUCACUCCUCUAUGAAACAAAUAGGACCGUGACAUAGAAAACUGACCACAUUGCAAAUUUUCUGUAUUGUUGAGCCAAGUCAGUGGCCAGCUCGGGUCUGUUUACCUGGGAACUGUUCAAUCCAACCCUGACUGCCUCAGGCCAAAGGCACUGCAUUCUGAAGAGUCUGCCCGACGCCCCGCACCCACUCUCCCGCACCUUGCCCCUCACUCCCCCACCGUAGACACACUCAGAGCCUGAGGGCGCGUAGAGCACUUGGGGAGGAAAGCACUUUCACCUUGCGCGCUCUGCAGAAGCAAGCCACCCGCAAAGAAUUCAAGAGCAAGUCCCUGGGAGGUGAAAUGACAUCGCCUCCACGGUUCCUUUCAGCUGAAAUCUCGACGGCUCCCAGCGGAGCACAAAAAAGCACAAGAAAACAGGGGGUCCCGCGCCUCCAGACCAGCAAGGUACGCGGGCCUCUCACUGCUGUGGCUUCUCCCGUUGUGGAGCACAGGCUCCGGACGCGCAGGCUCAGUGGCCAUGGCUCACGGACCCAGCCGCUCCGCGGCAUGUGGUAUGUUCCCAGACCGGGGCACAAACCCAUGUCCCCUGCAUCGGCAGGCGGACUCCCAACCACUGCGCCACCAGGGAAGCCCGACAGUAUUACUUUUAAGCUAACUUGAAUUAAACAAAGAAGAUGAAGAAUUGCUCAGGUAAAUGUUUCUCUACAACAAGAACAUCUGAAAUAAUGUUAAGUGUUCUGCACCAGGGUUUUCUCCACUGGGCUGGGUGUGUCCUCUACUGAUGGCAUGAUACUUUUGAACCCUGGGAAACCAUGAGUGCUGCAGGUUUCCCUGUUCUCUGCCAAGACCAUGAUGGAGGUAGAGAGAAGUUUCUACACGUGAAAGAUUGUACUCUGACUUUUUCCAGGGCUACUCACCAUGUCACUCCACUGUAUCAGGACUGGAUGAUAGCAGUGAGAAUUCUUAGCAUUUUAUACACUCACCUUCUUCCCUCAGUACAAUUUCUCAGCCUCUGCUGGGGCUGUUAGCAACAUGAGUGAGGGUAGUGUUUAAACAUUAUUCUAGGAUGAACCAAAAUCUAAUUUUUUGUAGAGGCAGGAUCUGGAAGCUGGCUUCAAAUACCCAUUUUUAUAUAAAACAUGGCUAGAAGAGAGCCUGGUAUAUAGCAAGGGCCAUGCAUUUAUUAUUAAAUUAUACUCACUUUCAGAAGUUUAUGAAAUGAGGUUGUGCCCCCAUUCCUUCUUUGCUGUAUGAUAAGAAAUAUUUCCUUUGAGCUCUUACACCUUUCUUUAAAUUAAUUUCAUUACAUAUUGAUGGAAGGGAAUUUUGUGAUCUGGCCUCCUUCUGCCAUCUUUACUUGGAGAUUCCUACAGCUGCCGUCUAACAGAAGUAAGCAUUUAUGCUAAGCAACACGUUUCUGGAAAGAUUUCAUCUAUUUUAUUUUAUAGAAUUCUCAAGUGAUCACACUUUUUACAUUAACUUAAAAAAGUUUUAUGGGUCAUUUUUCUCCUAGUCUCUCAAAUAAAUAGUCUCUCUACCCUAAAUCUGCAGUCUCUUUCUCUUGCUCUCUGUCUGUAUCUCUUUAAAUCCCAUUUAGAAAUUCAAAUAAGGUGUUUUGAAGAAAGAAAAAAAAACUAACAUCCUUCUAAGGGAAGAAAAACAAUCUAUUUUAAAGCAAGAUCCAAAAACAAGAAAAAAAGUCUUGACACUUUUUUUGGUCCAGGCUCAGGCUGGGACACUCUUGGGGAGGCACUCUCAGACACUCCUUGGCUUAUAGAAGUUACUGAUGAUGGCACUACCAGAGCCUGGGGGCAUGGGAGCCUCCAAAUCCACUCAUUUUCCUCUAGCUAGCUUCUUCCCAGGCCCCCAUUCCCUCAGAUUCAGGGCCUGGAUUUUAGGCAUGUGACCCUGGGCAAGUCAGAUUUAGGCUGGCCAUUACUGGAGAAAGCUCCCAGAUCCUGAAGACACUAGGGGUCUGCCUCAGCAGAGCUUGGGGCAGGGGAAGCCUCCCAGCCCAUCCAUCCAUCUUGAGCUAGCCAGCUGCUCUACCCUCAUCCCCUUAAACCAGGGCCUGAAUACUAGGUCAGCAAGUCCCAGAGCAGCUGGAAGCUGACCUAGACUUGUGUGUUCUGAAAGGCAGGAGACUCAAACAGACCCUUGGAUGUAAGGGAAGCCUGUUUUCUCAACCCACCCACAACCCUUAAGUUAACUGCAAGUUCUUCCCCGAACCCAUCACACUCUAGGGUCUCCAUGUCUGGUCUAGUAAUGGUCAAUCCAUGUUCAUAGUGACCCUCUUUAUCUAGAAGGUAUCCUCUGCCCUCAAUCUCUGCUGUUGCCCAAAACAAAACAAAACAAAACAAAACCCCAAACCUCUAUGUUUUGAUUUGCUUAUGGAUAGAAAAAUUAACGUCCUCACUAAGUUAGAUACCCAUGUGGAUUAACUAAAAAACAUCCCUUAGAAAUGGUGCAACCUACCAAUGUGACUGAUGCACUUCCAAUGGCAGGUGCAGCAGGGCUGAAGAGGUCAAACCCAAACCUGGGUAUGCAAACACUGUGAUUAUGUGAGGGUUUGGCUUCAGGGUAUAAAUCCUAUUUAUAUCCUGCUUUUUUCCCAACUAAAAUUGUGUGUGUGUGUUUUCAUUACAUUUUCUGACUGGUCAUUGCUAGUCUGAAGGAAUGCUACUGAUUUUUUUUAAAGAAACUAUCGAGAAUGAUAUUAGUUAUUGAUUUAAAAUUGAUAUAAUAUUUAUCAGGUUAAGGAAAUAUCUUUUUAUUUCUUAGUGUACCCAAAUAUAUAAAAUCUGGAAUGGGUGAAGCAUCUUAUUGAACUUUUUCUCUUUUCUUUCUUAGUGAUCCAGUAGAUUUCUAGAUUUUAACUUCUUACAUUGGAGGAAUGUAUGUACUUGGUUAUAGUAAAUUCUGUUUUCAUUAAGCUGUUAUACAUUUAUUAAGCUAUUUAUAUUUAUUUAGAAAUGAAACUCUUUUUUUCUGGGAUAUCUAGGGACAGAGUACUGUGGAAUACCAACUGGGGACAAAUUGGUCUAUGGGUUUGUUUUCUUGUUCUAACUUUGCCAGGUUUACUACCAAAGCUAUGUUAACUUUAUAGAAUCUAGACAUGAAUAAAGCUUUGUCAAUAUUUUGGUUUAUUUAUAAAAUACUAAAAUAACAUAUUU